AACGAACGCUGGCGGCAUGCCUAACACAUGCGAGUCGAACGAGACCUUCGGGUCUAGUGGCGCACGGGUGCGUAACGCGUGGGAACCUGCCCUUAGGUUCGGAAUAACUCCCCGAAAGGGGUGCUAAUACCGGAUAAUGUCUUCGGACCAAAGAUUUAUCGCCUUUGGAUGGGCCCGCGUUGGAUUAGCUAGUUGGUAGGGUAAAAGCCUACCAAGGCGACGAUCCAUAGCUGGUCUGAGAGGAUGAUCAGCCACACUGGGACUGAGACACGGCCCAGACUCCUACGGGAGGCAGCAGUGGGGAAUAUUGGACAAUGGGCGAAAGCCUGAUCCAGCAAUGCCGCGUGAGUGAUGAAGGCCUUAGGGUUGUAAAGCUCUUUUACCCGGGAUGAUAAUGACAGUACCGGGAGAAUAAGCUCCGGUUAACUCCGUG
rnacentral:rRNA from 1 species